AACGAACGCUGGCGGCAGGCCUAACACAUGCAAGUCGAACGCCCCGCAAGGGGAGUGGCCGACGGUUGAGUAACACGUGGGAACCUUCCCUAUAGUACGUAAUAGCCCAGGGAAACUUGGAGUAAUACCGUAUACGCCCGAAAGGGGAAAGAAUUUCGCUAUAGGAUGGGCCCGCGUAGGAUUAGCUAGUUGGUGAGGUAAUGGCUCACCAAGGCGACGAUCCUUAGCUGGUUUGAGAGAACGACCAGCCACACUGGUACUGAGACACGGCCCAGACUCCUACGGGAGGCAGCAGUGGGGAAUAUUGGACAAUGGGCGCAAGCCUGAUCCAGCCAUGCCGCGUGAGUGAUGAAGGCCUUAGGGUUGUAAAGCUCUUUUGGCGGGGACGAUAAUGACGGUACCCGCAGAAUAAGUCCCGGCUAACUUCGUG
rnacentral:rRNA from 1 species